CACACGGAAUAUUCGAAGUCGACAUUUUCCGUCUCGCGUGCAGCUACGACAUUGGCGACGAAGAUGAUGAACAUCAUCAUCAAGACCUGGAAGGUCACGUUACAGUAGAGUGGACAUCAUGUUUGUGGCCGUCAGAGGAGGAAACCACCGAGGGAAUGGAGGAGAGGGGUCGACCUCAAGGUCGUGACACCCGCAGACGGCCACCGCUCGCCGGAGAACAAAGAGCAGCCGUGAGACACAUUUAGGAAGGAAGUCGGAGAGGAAAGUGGCCAUGAUGACGACUCUUAUUGGCCAUCGGCGACACAGGUGCGCCAUGCCGACGCGUCCCGAAUUCCGCUCCG